UCGAGGAUCUUCGGCAAUGGGCGCAAGCCUGACCGAGCGACGCCGCGUGGAGGAUGAAGGCCUUCGGGUUGUAAACUCCUGUCGAGGGGGAUAAAAGCGAAAGCUUGAUAGAUCCCUGGAGGAAGCACGGGCUAAGUUCGUGCCAGCAGCCGCGGUAAGACGAACCGUGCAAACGUUGUUCGGAAUCACUGGGCUUAAAGGGCGCGUAGGCGGCUUACCAAGUCGGGGGUGAAAUCCAGCAGCUUAACUGUUGAAGUGCCUUCGAUACUGACGAGCUAGAGGAAGGUAGGGGUGUGUGGAACUUCUGGUGGAGCGGUGAAAUGCGUUGAUAUCAGAAGGAACGCCGGUGGCGAAAGCGACGCACUGGACCUUUUCUGACGCUGAGGCGCGAAAGCUAGGGUAGCGAACGGGAUUAGAUACCCCGGUAGUCC
rnacentral:rRNA from 1 species